rnacentral:rRNA from 1 species
AGAUUGAACGCUGGCGGCAGGCCUAACACAUGCAAGUCGAGCGGCAGCACGGGUACUUGUACCUGGUGGCGAGCGGCGGACGGGUGAGUAAUGCCUAGGAAUCUGCCUGGUAGUGGGGGAUAACGCUCGGAAACGGACGCUAAUACCGCAUACGUCCUACGGGAGAAAGCAGGGGACCUUCGGGCCUUGCGCUAUCAGAUGAGCCUAGGUCGGAUUAGCUAGUUGGUGGGGUAAUGGCUCACCAAGGCGACGAUCCGUAACUGGUCUGAGAGGAUGAUCAGUCACACUGGAACUGAGACACGGUCCAGACUCCUACGGGAGGCAGCAGUGGGAAUAUUGGACAAUGGGCGAAAGCCUGAUCCAGCCAUGCCGCGUGUGUGGAAGAAGGUCUUCGGAUUGUAAAGCACGUUUAAGUUGGAGGAAGGCAGUUACCUAAUACGUAUCUGUUUUGACGUUACGACAGAAUAAGCACCGGCUAACUCUGUCGCCAG